UCGGGAAUUUUGGGCAAUGGGCGAAAGCCUGACCCUGCAACGCCGCGUGAAGGAUGAAGUAUUUCGGUAUGUAAACUUCGAAAGAAUAGGAAGAAUAAAUGACGGUACUAUUUAUAAGGUCCGGCUAACUACGUGCCAGCAGCCGCGGUAAUACGAAGGGGGCUAGCGUUGUUCGGAAUUACUGGGCGUAAAGCGCACGUAGGCGGAUUGUUAAGUCAGAGGUGAAAUCCCGGAGCUCAACUUCGGAACUGCCUUUGAUACUGGCAAUCUCGAGUCCGGAAGAGGUUAGUGGAAUUCCCAGUGUAGAGGUGAAAUUCGUAGAUAUUGGGAAGAACACCAGUGGCGAAGGCGGCUAACUGGUCCGGUACUGACGCUGAGGUGCGAAAGCGUGGGGAGCAAACAGGAUUAGAUACCCCCGUAGUCCCUGAGCGGGCUGGCAAGGCGCAU
rnacentral:rRNA from 1 species